AACGCACGAGACCUGCGGACCUGCGGAGGGAUCAUUACAGAGGUGCUUGCUGGCUGGCGGGUGCGUGCGGCGUGGCGGCGGGAGCUGUCGAGGCGCACGCACACGCUGGAAAAACAUUGGCGCGUGUGGGGUUUGACAGAGUGAGUGGGGUUGGGAGGAGAAAACUUUUAACAACGGAUCUCU
rnacentral:misc_RNA from 1 species